rnacentral:rRNA from 1 species
GCAAAACUCCAAAAAAAAUAAGUCUCAGUUCGGAUUNAAGGCUGAAAUUCGCCUUCAUGAAGCCGGAAUUGCUAGUAAUGGCAGGUCAGCAUACUGCCGUGAAUACGUUCCCGGGCCUUGUACACACCGCCCGUCACACCAUGAGAGUUGGGAAUACCCGAAGCCUGUGAGCUAACUUUUAGAGGCAGCAGUCGAAGGUAGAAUCAAUGAUUGGGGUGAAGUCGUAACAAGGUACC